UACAGGGGGUGCAAACGUUGCUCGGAAUUAUUGGGCGUAAAGCGCGCGUAGGCGGCUACUUAAGUCGGAUGUGAAAGCCCCUGGCUCAACUGGGGAAGUGCACCCGAAACUGAGUGGCUUGAGUGCGAAAGAGGGUCGCGGAAUUCCCGGUGUAGAGGUGAAAUUCGUAGAUAUUGGGAAGAACACCGGUGGCGAAGGCGGCUCACUGGCUCGUAUCUGACGCUCAGGCGCGACAGCGUGGGGAUCAAACAGG
rnacentral:rRNA from 1 species